AGAAAUAAAAAAGAGGACAGAAAAAUAUGAAAAAAAAAAAAAAGAAAAAAAAAAAGAAAAGAAAAAAUAAGCACAAAAAAUAUGAAAUAAGAGAAAAAAGAAAAGAAAAAUAAGAAAAAGAGAAAAAAGGAAAAGAAAAAAAAUGAACAAAAAAGACAAAAAAGAGAAAAGAAAAAAAUGAACAAAAAAAAG
rnacentral:lncRNA from 7 species